rnacentral:rRNA from 1 species
GGGGAAUAUUGCACAAUGGGGGAAACCCUGAUGCAGCAACGCCGCGUGAGUGAUGAAGGCCUUCGGGUCGUAAAACUCUGUCCUAAGGGAAGAAAUUUGACGGUACCUUGGGAGGAAGCCCCGGCUAACUACGUGCCAGCAGCCGCGGUAAUACGUAGGGGGCAAGCGUUAUCCGGAAUCACUGGGCGUAAAGGGUGCGUAGGCGGUCCUUCAAGUCAGGGGUGAAAGGCUACGGCUCAACCGUAGUAAGCCUUUGAAACUGUAGGACUUGAGUGCAGGAGAGGAAAGUGGAAUUCCUAGUGUAGCGGUGAAAUGCGUAGAUAUUAGGAGGAACACCAGUGGCGAAGGCGACUUUCUGGACUGUAACUGACGCUGAGGCACGAAAGUGUGGGUAGCGAAC